rnacentral:rRNA from 1 species
UACGAAGGGGGCGAGCGUUGUUCGGAUUUACUGGGCGUAAAGGGCGCGUAGGCGGCCUUGUCAGUCAGGCGUGAAAGCCCCGGGCUCAACCUGGGAACGGCGCUUGGGACGGCGAGGCUGGAGUUCGGGAGAGGAGAGUGGAAUUCCCAGUGUAGAGGUGAAAUUCGUAGAUAUUGGGAAGAACACCGGUGGCGAAGGCGGCUCUCUGGACCGACACUGACGCUGAGACGCGAAAGCGUGGGGAGCGAACCGG